GGGGCUAUAGCUCAAGGGAAGAGUGCUUCCUUCUCAGGGAAGAGGUUAGAGGUUCAAGUCCUCUUAGUCCCC
rnacentral:tRNA from 2 species